CCCCCUCCCUCUAGCGGGCACAUCGGUCCCAACACUAGCCUCCUCGGCCAUUCCUCCGCACCGCCAACGACCCAAUCCCUAACCCUUCAAAGCCACCAAAACUUUCAUGCCUCUUCCGACGCUAUCAUUCUUGUUGCUUAGGGUUGUCCAAUUGUGCGCCCAGUAGCCGAUCCUUUCCUUCAUUGGGUUAGCAAAAAGAUUCUACUUCUAAAGCUGACGGUGAGUCUUCAGAAGGAUUACCCUAGCCCUUCUACUUCUAAAGCUGACGAUGAUGACGAGGGCAGAGGAAUUGGGAGGCGUAUAGACAAUCGCAAUCCGACUCUUCUUCUCUUCUCCCAAUCUCCACUUGCUGGAUCUUCUCUACAAUCACCUCGUUCACCACAUAAAGGUAAAUAGUCAUAAAUCUGAUUGCUAGUGGGGUGGAGGCAGUUCCUGUGGAGGAUGAUGUUGCCGUUGAUGUGAUUGAGGAGAUAGAGCCGCCUUCGGCUGCGGUGCCCUUCUCCAGGCUAUUUUCCUACGUAGAUGAGCUCGAUUGGGUGCUGAUGGUGGUCGGGGCUAUACUGCCCUGCCCAAGGGGGGUGGCGCUAGUGGUCUACUUGUAUUUCUUUGGAAGGGUCAUCAACUUGCUCGACUCUCAUAGUGAGGCGCUGUUUGGUAAAAUCAAGCAGGUAUCUCAAAAGGGAUUGAUAGGCAUAAUACUAGUAAGCCAUUGGUUUGUGCCUUGCUCUAACACCAAAGAAGUUGCAAUCUCUCACUAGAUUUCAUGUUUGGAUGGUUCACGAACCCCUUAACUCAAGGGGACUAUCCUUUCACAAUGAGAGCACUUGUUGGGGAUCGCCUUCCAAAGUUUAGCACAGAACAAUCUCAACUUGUUAAGUCAUCAUUUGAUUUCAUUGAACUUAAUUACUAUACCGCAUACUUUGCUGAUUCUAUUUCACUCUAACAUCAUUUUAUCUUGUAUGCUCUUUUGGUGUUGAUUUUUCAUGAUUGUAUGGAUUUAUAUAAGUGUAUGAAUGUAAACAAAGGAGAUUUUGUUCGUUUGUUUGCUAAAACUACUUUUGAGUUCAAAAA